rnacentral:rRNA from 1 species
UACGUAGGGGGCAAGCGUUGUCCGGAAUCAUUGGGCGUAAAGCGCUCGCAGGUGGUUCGAUGCGUCGUGCGUGAAAGACCCCGGCUCAACUGGGGGGUGUCGUGCGAUACGGUCGGACUGGAGGCCAGUAGGGGGAUGCGGAAUUCCGGGUGUAGUGGUGGAAUGCGUAGAGAUCCGGAGGAACACCAGCGGCGAAGGCGGCAUCCUGGACUGGUCCUGACACUCAUGAGCGAAAGCGUGGGGAGCGAGUCCGG